rnacentral:rRNA from 1 species
UACGUAGGGUGCUAGCGUUAAUCGGAAUUACUGGGCGUAAAGUGUGCGCAGGCGGCAGAGCAAGUCGAGUGUGAAAGCCCCGGGCUUAACUUGGGAAUUGCGCUCGAAACUACUUUGCUGGAGUGUGGCAGAGGAAGGUGGAAUUCCACGUGUAGCGGUGAAAUGCGUAGAGAUGUGGAGGAACACCAAUGGCGAAGGCAGCCUUCUGGGCCAACACUGACGCUCAUGCACGAAAGCGUGGGGAGCAAACAGG